AUGUAUAUUUAUCAGCAUAACGAUUAUGCUAAUUACUUUUCGAUUAAAUUUAAAUAAUAUAAAUGCCCAAACGUUGAUAGACGGUAGGCACGCGCGCCGGUGAAUACGAUAUUCCCGUUUCGCGUCGUAAGAUAUUAAUAUUAUAAUCGUGUAUCACGCCGUUAUCACCGAUACGUACAAGUUUAUCAAUAUUCGAUAGUAACAAUGAUGUUAUCACCGUUUACCGGAUACGAUUCAUUACUCAUCGCCGAUCUGCUAUUGUUGUGUGCUAAUAUAAAAUACUGCCGGUGAACUAUAAGUAAAUCAAUUUAAGAAAAACAAAAACGCUUUUGCCCGCGUACGAUUUGGACGUCUGUGGUUUUUUUUUUAACAGGAUGUGAUGAAUUUUUACCGUUCCUGUUUUCGAUUCGGUCUCACGCGCGAUCGUCCUACGUAAUUUCAACUCGGAACAAUAGGUUUGCGCGUCGUCACCCCGUUCGAUCCAAGGCGUAUGUUAAUAGAAAACAGAAAUGAACGAAGACAAAUAUAGCAGCCCUAGUAAUCGGAUUGCAUCCCUUUCGAUAAUGUUAAACAGAAUUUUCAUAUCAAAUUAUUUAUCUGUUGUUUGCAAUCCACACACUGUUAAUUAACAUGAUUUACUUUGCUUUUGGAUAAUUAUGUGCAGUUCAAAGUUAAGAAAACAGUUACAUGUAAUGCAAACAAAUGAUUAUGGUUGUAAUUGAUAAUUGUAUGGACAUUAUGUAAAAUCUGUAUUGCAUGUGUGUAAUAUGUAUUACAUAAAGAUAUACACAGACUAAGAUUUGUAAUAAAAACAUGUUUAUAUGUAGAGAUAAAUGUAUCUUGUCUUCAUGGUGCAAAAAAGGCAGUAAAUAUGAAAACUACUGAAUGUAGGCAUAUAUUGAAAUUAUUUUCUUGGUAAAAAACUUGAUGCGCAUAUAAAAUGUAUUAAAUAUGCAAUAAACAAGCUAUU